AAUACAUGCCAACCAUAUGGAGUUGACCUAAUGCCUGUCUAUGUAGAUGUUCUGUACCACGCCCUUUAAAAAUACAUUUAAUAAUAUCAUGCUUACCCUGUUCUUAGAAAAGACAUGUUUUAUUACUGUUUCCAUUAGUAUGUUUUGUCUGUGGCCUGAGCACUUUAUUUUAUUGAACAUUCAUCUUCUGCUUGUCCAUAAUUUACCCAUCUUAUUAGUCAUUCAAAUCGCCCGAGUUCUCAGCAUCUCAGACAGAUUAUUUCAGUGAAUGUUUUGAUUCUGUAGGGUGAUACGAUGAGAGUAAUGGAGAAAUGAGGAUACUCACAGACUGAACUCUGCCAAACUGCUGAAAAUGGAAACAGAGUUAUUGUCCAACAGUUUCGGAUCCCACCAGCAUCCCUACAAACCAAGCGGAGCAGACGUCUAUCUAAUCAGCACUACUGUAUCCCCGACCACCAAACGGCUAACAGGGAUACUACCUUCCCGCCCUUUGCUGAUAGAUAAAAGUCUGCCUUGUCCUGCUAGGCUGCGGAUAUGAGGAGGACCGGACGAGCCCUCAAUUGAUAAUGUCAAAUAUUACCUUUAAACAUGAAGCUAUAUACCAAUACCGUGAAGCCGUAAUGGCCGCUAGGCCACGUGCACGUGUUACGCACUUUGCACGCUAUUUGCGUACAGGGUCCUGCACGUGGUACGCACUUGGCAAUAAACAGUGAAAACACAA